GCAUAUGGAGGUUCCCAGGCUAGGGGUCAAAUCAGAGCUACAGCUGCUGGCCUACGCCACAGCCACAGCAAUGUAGGAUCCAAGCCAUGUCUGCAACCUACACCACAAUUCACGGCAACGCCGGAUCCUUAACCCACUGAGUGAGCCCAGGGAUGGAACCCACAACCUCAUGCUUACCAGUUGGAUUUGAUUCCACUGUGCCACGAUGGACCUCCCUGCUGUUACUCAUUCUGAUUGGGCUUAGCCCACUGGCUCUUGGACACUUGCUUACACUCUGGGUAGGAUUCUGCAAUCAGGGCCCUGAGUAUAAGCCUGUAACUCUCCCCAUGGGUUAGGACUGCCGACUGGGUCUGCAGACCUUGGCUCACAGGGGCCACUGGGGCCAGAGGGGGUCAGUUUACGGAGGGCAUGUUUGUACCUGGUGCAGCAUCACUGGCCCUGAUAUUAGGCAUAGAGGAUCUCAGGUUGAGCUGAAUUCCGGCCCAUGGAGGCUCUUAAGAGUAAGUAGCCCUUCUAGCAGCAAUUACAAGCUCCUCUCUGUGUUGAUUUCUGUCAUCCCCAAGUCUUAAGCAAAGUUUUGUCAAAUGCUAACAAUAAUAGAAAGACAUUAAAGGUCAAAGGCCUGCAGGCAAGCCCUGCCUUCAAAACCGAGACACGGGGAGACAUCCGGAUUACUUCACAACUCUAGUUGUCUCUCAAACAAGUCUGUUCAGACAUCUUUAAAUAUGCAUUUUAGCAAGUCUCUCUGCCAGAGUGUUGACACCCAGGCUGGCUUUCCCAGGGCUGAGUGAUGCCUCGACGUGUGUGCCUAGCACCUUCCUGGUACUCAGAGGCUCAGGCAUUGCCAAGAGGCAGGAGACUGAGCCAGAGAAACAUUCCUGCUUCUCAAUCAGUACCUUUUCUGUUUGCACAUCACUCAACACAUACCGCUUAAUACAUGUGGACAAAUCUGUCCAGACUCAAAGAUACAAUUCGUGAGGGUGAGGAAAGAGGAAGAACCAUCUUCCCCACACUCUUUGGCCAUCUCCUCCUGCUCCCCACCUCUCAGCUCUGGCCGGAAGGAUUCUGAGAGUGGAUGGGUACAAAGGGGAUUUCAGUGAAGCCAGAUGAAGGGUGAGGACCUUGACCCUAGGUCUCACUGGAAGCCUGGGUUGUGCUGCCUUUGGGACCCACUAGCCCGCAAAAGUAUGAACUAGCAUCUAACCAGGUCUAAAUCAGUGCCAGGCUGUGUUAAUCAGUAACUUUCUUUUAAUAACCUUUUCAUUUUGAGAAAUCUUUAACUUCCAGAAAAGUUAAAAGAAUAAUAAAUAAACUCCCAAAUGAUCUUUCUAAGAAUCGCUGAUAUCUAAUAUUUUGUUACAUUGGCUUUCUUCUCCCUCUUACUCUUACACACACACACGCACACACACACAGAGAUGUAAUUAUUUUAGCAGUAUUUUUUCUGGGAAAAUGUUGAGAAUAAGUUUCUUUCUUUUUUUCCCUUUUUGGCCACACCUGCAGCAUGAGGAAGUUCUCAGGCCAAGGAUCAAAUCCACACCACAACAGCGACCUAAACCACAGCAGAUAACACCACAACCCCAGCUCUUUAACCCACUAAGCCACAGAAGAACUCCAAGGAUGAGUUUCAAACAUCACAUCCCUAAAUACUUUAGCAGCACACAUCUCUUAAGAACAAGGCUAUUUUCUUACAUAUCCUUAGGACAACUACUAAAGUAAGGAAAUGCAACUGAUGUACAUGAUUAUCUAAAGUCUGGUCUAUAUUCAAAUCUUGCCCUUUGUCCCAUACUGUCUUAUAGCAUUUUUUCCCCCUGAUGCAGUAUCCAAUCCAGAAUUACACAUGGUUAGUUGUCUUGGCUCUUUAGUCUCUUUUAUUUUUAUUUAUUUAUUUAUUUUUUGUCUUUUUGCCAUUUCUUGGGCCGCUCUCAGGGCAUAUGGAGGUUCCCAGGUUAGGGGUCUAAUCAGAGCUCUAGCUACCCGCCUACGCCAGAUUUUCCAUGGUAACAUUUGGUUUGUGCAUCUGGACACAGAUGCUGUAUGAGUGACGCUGUGUCCUCCUCAUGCAUCCAUCAAGAGGCACAGGAUGUCAUGUGGUCCCAUUGUUGGUGAUGUUAACAUUGGUCACUUGGUUAGUGUGGUCCCUGCAGAUCUAUCAUUUGUAAAGGUUACUUUUUUCCCUCCAAAAUUAAUGCUCAAUGGGGAGAUGCUUUGAGACUGUCUCCACCCCACCCCACCAUAAACUGUUG
rnacentral:lncRNA from 1 species